rnacentral:rRNA from 1 species
AGUGAACGCUGGCGGUAGGCCUAACACAUGCAAGUCGAACGGCAGCACAGUAAGAGCUUGCUCUUACGGGUGGCGAGUGGCGGACGGGUGAGGAAUACAUCGGAAUCUACUUUUUCGUGGGGGAUAACGUAGGGAAACUUACGCUAAUACCGCAUACGACCUACGGGUGCAAGCAGGGGAUCUUCGGACCUUGCGCGAUUGAAUGAGCCGAUGUCGGAUUAGCUAGUUGGCGGGGGAAAGGCCCACCAAGGCGACGAUCCGUAGCUGGUCUGAGAGGAUGAUCAGCCACACUGGAACGGAGACACGGUCCAGACUCCUACGGAAGGCAGCAGUAGGGAAUAUUGGACAAUGGGCGCAAGCCUGAUCCAGCCAUACCGCGUGGGUGAAGAAGGCCUUCGGGUUGUAAAGCCCUUUUGUUGGGAAAGAAAAGCAGCAGGUUAAUACCCCGCUGUUCUGACGGUACCAAAAGAAUAAGCACCGGCUAACUUCGUG